rnacentral:ncRNA from 1 species
CAGCAGACUUAAUUUAUUGAGUGCCCAUAGAGAAAUCUGUGGAGUAGAACUGCUCAAAUUCGGGGAAAGCUCUUAGCAAGCCAAUCCCGAGCCAAACCUUUUUUUUUAAAAGGAAGGUGUAGAGACUGGACGGGCAGCACCUAAAACAUUUAUAAUGUUAUGGUGAAGGGACAGUCCAGACCACAAACACUGCGAA